rnacentral:lncRNA from 1 species
CACAAGGAGGCCCCAGGGGAGGGUGGGGCAUCCUGCAGAGAGCUGCCCGCGGGAGCCUGGAGGCGGAGAGAUCCAGUGAGGACGGUGUGUGCGCUUCACACCGAGCAAACACUAGCUUCGGAGGUGGGCGGUGAGAAGCCUGGCGUGGCCGCUGCUCCUUCCUCUCCCCCGCCUCUCCCUGCGGGCCUGGCCCUGUGUGCUGGUCUCUGCCCUGCUCGGGCGGGCGGGUCCAUGGCGGGGUGGGUCCGGGUAGAGCAGCAAAUACUCCUGCCAGGCACGGCUGGGCCAGUGGAGAUAAGGGGCGCAGGCUCUGCCGGCUGGAAUCCGGGCCUUGGCUCCUCUGGGGGGAGUGGGGCACCCGUCUGGGCCCUCAGGCUCAGCUCUCUAGCGGCUGGGCACCGGGGCCCUUCCCCUUGGAAGGUGGCGCACACCUGUGAUCCCAGCACUCUGGGAGGCUGAGGCAGGAGGAUCGCAAGUCCAAGCCAAGCCUGGGCAACUUAGCGACUUAGCGAGACCCAGUCUCAAAAUGAGAAAUAAAAAGGGCCGGGAUUCAGUGCGAAGGCCCUGGUUCCCCCCCCCCCAGCAUCUCCCCGGCGAUUCUGUGCUUUGUCCUUCGCGCUGGGCACACACAGCUUCACCUAGUCCUGUGCCUAGAAUCUGCCCAAGAGUGAUGGACACAUGUGUGAUGGAUCGAAAUGUACGGAUCUCAGACUUCUCCCAUCAGUUCAGCGACUUGUGAAUCCAUGGAGUUGCGCAGCAAUUCCCAGGGUCCGUCUGGAGCAUUUCCAUCCCUCCCAGGGGCCAGCCUGGGGUACACAGUGAGGCCCUGUCUCGAAACACCAACACAAACAAAUAAAACCC